UACGUAGGGUGCGAGCGUUAAUCGGAAUUACUGGGCGUAAAGCGUGCGCAGGCGGUUAUGUAAGACAGAUGUGAAAUCCCCGGGCUCAACCUGGGAACUGCAUUUGUGACUGCAUAGCUAGAGUACGGUAGAGGGGGAUGGAAUUCCGCGUGUAGCAGUGAAAUGCGUAGAUAUGCGGAGGAACACCGAUGGCGAAGGCAAUCCCCUGGACCUGUACUGACGCUCAUGCACGAAAGCGUGGGGGAGCAAACGAGG
rnacentral:rRNA from 1 species